rnacentral:lncRNA from 1 species
CUCAAGUAAAGCUCUAUGGGUAUCGCCAUGGGAAGAAGAACCGAUCAUUUUUCUGCCGAUUCCUACACAAAUCAAAACAAGUAAGGGAAAUAGCGAUGAUAAAAAAAAGGUUUAGUAAAAUAAGCAGAGACAAGAAAUAAUAAAUAAUUACCAUGAGAAAGAGAGAAGAAAAGCAUGAGAAAAACAGCCACAACGAAAGUGGAACGCCCCAUUGAUAGAUUUCCUUUUUCUUAACUGGAAAAUGGGUCUGUAAUUUGUGACAGUAAGUAAAGUGGAGAUCCUACAAAUGGCUAUAUAUAUAGGAGUUUGGAGACGUAAGAAACGUUUCAGAUCCGAUUAUUACUAAACCCUUUUAAUAGAUUGUUUUAUUACUUUUUCCCUUUCAUUUUUUUCUGAACUAAAU